UAGUAACUGCGAGUGAAGCGGGAAAAGCUCAAAUUUAAAAUCUGGCGGUCUCCGGCCGUCCGAGUUGUAAUCUAGAGAAGUGUUAUCCGCGCUGGACCGUGUACAAGUCUCCUGGAAUGGAGCGUCAUAGAGGGUGAGAAUCCCGUCUUUGACACGGACUGCCAGGGCUUUGUGAUGCGCUCUCAAAGAGUCGAGUUGUUUGGGAAUGCAGCUCAAAAUGGGUGGUAAAUUCCAUCUAAAGCUAAAUAUUGGCGAGAGACCGAUAGCGAACAAGUACCGUGAGGGAAAGAUGAAAAGAACUUUGGAAAGAGAGUUAAACAGUACGUGAAAUUGCUGAAAGGGAAACGCUUGAAGUCAGUCGCGUUGGCCGGGGAUCAACCUUGCUUUUGCUGGGCGUACUUUCCGGUUGACGGGUCAGCAUCAAUUUUGACCGUUGGAUAAAGUCUAGGGGAAUGUGGCAUCUUCGGAUGUGUUAUAGCCCUUGGUCGCAUACAACGGUUGGGAUUGAGGAACUCAGCACGCCGCAAGGCCGGGUACUUGUACCACGUUCGUGCUUAGGAUGCUGGCAUAAUGGCUUUAAUCGACCCGUCUUGAAACACGGACCAAGGAGUCUAACAUGCCUGCGAGUGUUUGGGUGGAAAACUCGGACGCGUAAUGAAAGUGAAAGUUGAGAUCCCUGUCGCGGGGAGCAUCGACGCCCGGACCAGACCUUUUGUGACGGAUCCGCGGUAGAGCAUGUAUGUUGGGACCCGAAAGAUGGUGAACUAUGCCUGAAUAGGG
rnacentral:rRNA from 1 species